ACGAACGCUGGCGGCGUGCUUAACACCUGCAAGUCGAACGGAAAGGCCCCUUUGGGGGUACUCGAGUGGCGAACGGGUGAGUAACACGUGAGUAACCUGCCCUUGACUUCGGGAUAACUUCAGGAAACUGGGGCUAAUACCGGAUAGGAAUCCUUGCUGCAUGGUGGGGGUUGGAAAGCUUCGGCGGUUUUGGAUGGACUCGCGGCUUAUCAGCUUGUUGGUGGGGUAGUGGCUUACCAAGGCUUUGACGGGUAGCCGGCCUGAGAGGGCGACCGGCCACAUUGGGACUGAGAUACGGCCCAGACUCCUACGGGAGGCAGCAGUGGGGAAUAUUGCACAAUGGGCGGAAGCCUGAUGCAGCAACGCCGCGUGCGGGAUGACGGCCUUCGGGCUGUAAACCGCUUUCAGCAGGGGCGAAGCUUGUGGUGACGGUACCUGCAGAAGAAGCACCGGCUAACUACGUG
rnacentral:rRNA from 1 species